GAUGAACGCUGGCGGCGUGCCUAAUACAUGCAAGUCGAGCGAACAGAUAAGGAGCUUGCUCCUUUGACGUUAGCGGCGGACGGGUGAGUAACACGUGGGUAACCUACCUAUAAGACUGGGAUAACUUCGGGAAACCGGAGCUAAUACCGGAUAAUAUUUCGAACCGCAUGGUUCGAUAGUGAAAGAUGGUUUUGCUAUCACUUAUAGAUGGACCCGCGCCGUAUUAGCUAGUUGGUAAGGUAACGGCUUACCAAGGCGACGAUACGUAGCCGACCUGAGAGGGUGAUCGGCCACACUGGAACUGAGACACGGUCCAGACUCCUACGGGAGGCAGCAGUAGGGAAUCUUCCGCAAAGGGCGAAAGCCUGGCGGAGCAACGCCGCGUGAGUGAUGAAGGUCUUCGGAUCGUAAAACUCUGUUAUUAGGGAAGAACAUACGUGUAAGUAACUGUGCACGUCUUGACGGUACCUAAUCAGAAAGCCACGGCUAACUACGUG
rnacentral:rRNA from 1 species